CAGCUGAAAACACAUGUGUGAACAACUUCAGAUUUACCCAUUGUUUCGUUAGGAAAUAAGACAUUACGUUCAUCGUAACAGUUGAUAUAGAUAAAAAUCCCUUUCACAUACCUAAUUAAUUAAUUGACACGUGCUGAAAACUACAAGAUAUUCGCCCGACUCCGAUCAUCGUGGUAUACGAGGUAAAAAGGACUCUCUAAACGGAACACAUGAUCACUUUCUCGAUAAUCUAUUAAUGGUUUUCCAAUAGCACCGAUCGAUAAUUCGGCCUCACUGCUAAAAAAAGAUUAACCCAUCAUGCACCGCACAGCAGCCAUAACAGUUUCGGACAAACAUUGUACACUUGCAGUGGGGUCAGCCAGUUGUUAUUAUGACACAUUUUCUUAAAAUGGGGGCCACAAAGCACUGUUGUUAUGGGACUUGUAACAGUGAUUCUAGAUAUCCAUAUAGGGCUGAAAUGAAAGACGUGUUUUUCGUUCGUUUUCCACAAAAGAAACCCAGAGAACCUGUAAAAUAUGCACGCUUGGCUAAAGCAUGUUGUCGACAGAAAUUCACAGCAGAAUCUGUGAAAAAAGACACAUAUAUUUGCAGCUUGAAUUUUGUUGGAAAUGCAGGUUUAACAUCUGAUCACCCAGAUCCAAUUCCUGCAACUGCUACAAAAUAUGAGAUAGAGAAAUGUUUAAAGAAACAAAGAAGAGCCGUCAGAAGGGAAUUAAAAUUAUCAGAGGAAUUAGACAUGCUGAACACAGCCCCGUCUUCAAGUUUUACUGAUGGCGAAACUGAUAACAGUACAUGUAACACAUACACCGGUCAGGAUAUAAAGAAACAUGAAGCCGCCAGCAUACUCUUGUCAUUGCAACAGCAAAAUCUAAAGAACUUAGCAUUGAAAACCUCAAAGAAAGUGAUAAAGACAUGCAUUUUUACACUGGACUUUCAUAUUCCCAAUUCCUUUGCCUUUGGAAUUUUCUUGGACCAAACACAAGAAAUAUUUCAGGGUAGAGUAAUCCAAGAAAGGCAAGCGGGCAAAGCGGAAGCUCAGACCAUAGGAUAAAUUAUUAUUAACUUUAAUACGAUUGAGACUGGGC
rnacentral:sRNA from 1 species